AAUAGAUUGCCUGACUAAAGGAUUACUUUGAUAGAGUAAAUUAUAUAAUAAUACUUAUUAUAUCUAUUA
rnacentral:tRNA from 1 species